ACGGGAGGCAGCAGUGGGGAAUAUUGCACAAUGGGCGCAAGCCUGAUGCAGCAACGCCGCGUGAGGGAAGACGGUCUUCGGAUUGUAAACCUUUGUCUUUGGUGAAGAAGAAAGUGACGGUAGCCAAGGAGGAAGCCACGGCUAACUACGUGCCAGCAGCCGCGGUAAUACGUAGGUGGCAAGCGUUGUCCGGAGUUACUGGGUGUAAAGGGAGCGCAGGCGGGACAGCAAGUUGGAUGUGAAAUACCGAGGCUUAACCACGGAGCUGCAUCCAAAACUGUUGUUCUUGAGUGAAGUAGAGGUAGGCGGAAUUCCUAGUGUAGCGGUGAAAUGCGUAGAUAUUAGGAAGAACACCGGUGGCGAAGGCGGCUUGCUGGACAGAGACUGACGCUGAGGCACGAAAGCGUGGGGAGCAAACAGGAUUAGAUACCCUGGUA
rnacentral:rRNA from 1 species